rnacentral:rRNA from 1 species
CUACGGGGUGCAGCAGUGGGGAAUAUUGCACAAUGGGCGCAAGCCUGAUGCAGCCAUGCCGCGUGUAUGAAGAAGGCCUUCGGGUUGUAAAGUACUUUCAGCGGGGAGGAAGGGAGUAAAGUUAAUACCUUUGCUCAAUGACGGUACCCGCAGAAGAAGCACCGGCUAACUCCGUGCCAGCAGCCGCGGUAAUACGGAGGGUGCAAGCGUUAAUCGGAAUUACUGGGCGUAAAGCGCACGCAGGCGGUUUGUUAAGUCAGAUGUGAAAUCCCCGGGCUCAACCUGGGAACUGCAUCUGAUACUGGCAAGCUUGAGUGUCGUAGAGGGGGGUAGAAUUCCAGGUGUAGCGGUGAAAUGCGUAGAGAUCUGGAGGAAUACCGGUGGCGAAGGCGGCCCCCUGGACGAAGACUGACGCUCAGGUGCGAAAGCGUGGGGAGCAAACAGGAUUAGAUACCCGCGUAGUC